rnacentral:rRNA from 1 species
AUUGAACGCUGGCGGCAGGCCUAACACAUGCAAGUCGAACGCGUGGCGGACGGGUGAGUAAUGUCUGGGAAACUGCCCGAUGGAGGGGGAUAACUACUGGAAACGGUAGCUAAUACCGCAUACCAUCGGAUGUACCCAGAUGGGAUUAGCUAGUAGUGGGGGUAACGGCUCACCUAGGCGACGAUCCCUAGCUUGUCUGAGCGUAUGACCAGCCACACUGGAACGGAGAAACGGUCCAGACUCCUACGUGAGGCAGCAGUGGGGAAGAUUGCACAAUGGGCGCAAGCCUGAUGCAGCCAUGCCGCGUGUAUGAAGAAGGCCUUAGGGUUGUAAAGUACUUUCAGCGGGGAGGCGUUACCCGCAGAAGAAGCACCGGCUAACUCCGUGCCAGCAGCCGCGGUAAUAC